rnacentral:rRNA from 1 species
GUGGGGAAUUUUGGACAAUGGGCGCAAGCCUGAUCCAGCAAUGCCGCGUGAGUGAUGAAGGCCUUAGGGUUGUAAAGCUCUUUUACCAGGGAUGAUAAUGGCAGUACCUGGAGAAUAAGCUCCGGCUAACUCCGUGCCAGCAGCCGCGGUAAUACGGAGGGAGCUAGCGUUGUUCGGAAUUACUGGGCGUAAGCGCACGUAGGCGGUUACUCAAGUCAGAGGUGAAAGCCGCGUGCUCAACCCCGGAACUGCCUUUGAAACUAGGUAACUAGAAUCUUGGCGAGGUCAGUGGGAUUCCGAAUGUAGAGGUAAAAUUCGUAUAUAUUCUGAAGAACACCAGUGGCGAAGGCGACUGACUGGACAAGUAUUGACGCUGAGGUGCGAAAGCGUGGGGAGCAAACAGGAUUAGAAACCCCGGUAGUCC